rnacentral:rRNA from 1 species
UACGGGAGGCAGCAGGGGGGAAUAUUGCACAAUGGGCGCAAGCCUGAUGCAGCCAUGCCGCGUGUAUGAAGAAGGCCUUCGGGUUGUAAAGUACUUUCAGUCGUGAGGAAGGUGUUAAGGUUAAUAACCUUAGCAAUUGACGUUAGCGACAGAAGAAGCACCGGCUAACUCCGUGCCAGCAGCCGCGGUAAUACGGAGGGUGCGAGCGUUAAUCGGAAUUACUGGGCGUAAAGGGCACGCAGGCGGUUAAUUAAGUUGGAUGUGAAAUCCCCGGGCUUAACCUGGGAAUGGCAUUCAAGCUGGUUAGCUAGAGUCUUGUAGAGGGGGUAGAAUUCCAUGUGUAGCGGUGAAAUGCGUAGAGAUGUGGAGGAAUACCGGUGGCGAAGGCGGCCCCUGGACAAAGACUGACGCUCAUGUGCGAAAGCGUGGGGAGCAAACGAGGGAUUAGAUACC